rnacentral:rRNA from 1 species
GCCUAAACUCUAGCCCAACUUAUUCUUAUGAAAACAUUUUUUUAUAUACCAUAAUUUAAAACAUUUUAACAAUUUAGUAAAGGCGAUUAAAAAAUUUUAAAGGAGCUAUAGAAGUAGUACCGCAAGGGAAAGAUGAAAUAGUAAUUAAAUUUACAGCAUAUAAUAGUAGAGAUUUUAUCUUGUACCUUUUGCAUCAUGGUUAAACCAGUUAAAUCUAGCAAAAUGACCUUUAGUUUGACCCCCCGAAACUAAACGAGCUACUUCAGGGCAGCUUAUUGAGCUAACCCAUCUCUGUUGCAAAAGAGUGGGAAGACCCUUAAGUAGAGGUGACAGACCUAACGAGUUUAGUGAUAGCUGGUUACUCAAGAAAAGAAUUUUAGUUCAACUUGAAGUUAAAAAAAUAAUUACAAACAUAUUAAAUUAACUUUAAAGCAAUUCAAAUAAGGUACAGCCUAUUUGAAACAGGAUACAACCUGAAUUAACGGGUAAACUACUCUACUUUAUAACUAAGUGGGCCUUAAAGCAGCCACCUUAAGAUAGCGUCAAAGCCCAAUUAUAAAAACACACAAUUCCUACACUCUUAUUUACCCCUUUUAUAGUAUUGAGUAAUUCUAUACCCCUAUAGAACUUUUUAUGUUUAAACUAGUAACAAGAAGAUACUACUUCUCUUUUAAUGUAAGUGUAAAUCAGACAGGACAAACCACUGAUAAUCAACACAUCUAAGAUAAAGCAGCAACUUAAUUCAAGAAAACCCUACUCUUACAUUGUGUUAAUCUAACACAAGAACAUUUAAAGAAAGAUUAAAAGAGAAAGAAGGAACUCGGCAAACAUUAACUCCGCCUGUUUACCAAAAACAUCGCCUCUUGCAAACUAUAAGAGGUCCAGCCUGCCCAGUGACACUGUUCAACGGCCGCGGUAUCCUAACCGUGCGAAGGUAGCGUAAUCACUUGUUCUUUAAAUGAGGACUAGUAUGAAAGGCACCACGAGAGUUAUACUGUCUCCUAUCUCUAAUCAGUGAAACUAAUCUUCCCGUGAAGAAGCGGGGAUUUCUAUAUAAGACGAGAAGACCCUAUGGAGCUUUAAAUAAUAAUAUCAUUUGCUAAUUUACCCGAACCUUUUCAGAAAACUUACUCUCACUCUAGCAUCAUGAUCAUUAAUUUUAGGUUGGGGCGACCACGGAGCACAAAAUAACCUCCACACUGAAAUAGAGCCUAAACUCUAAGCAAAAAGUCACAACUUUCUGCAUCAAAAAAUUGACACCAAUUGACCCAAUAUUUUGACCAAUGAACCAAGUUACCCUAGGGAUAACAGCGCAAUCCACUUCAAGAGCUCCUAUCGACAAGUGGGUUUACGACCUCNAUGUUGGAUCAGGGUAUCCUAGUGGUGCAG